GAUUGCCUCAGUAACGGCGAGUGAAGCGGCAACAGCUCAAAUUUGAAAUCUGGCCCCAGGCCCGAGUUGUAAUUUGCAGAGGAUGCUUUUGGCGAGGUGCCUUCCGAGUUCCCUGGAACGGGACGCCAUAGAGGGUGAGAGCCCCGUACGGUUGGACACCAAGUCUUUGUAAAGCUCCUUCGACGAGUCGAGUAGUUUGGGAAUGCUGCUCAAAAUGGGAGGUAUAUUUCUUCUAAAGCUAAAUAUUGGCCAGAGACCGAUAGCGCACAAGUAGAGUGAUCGAAAGAUGAAAAGCACUUUGAAAAGAGGGUUAAACAGCACGUGAAAUUGUUAAAAGGGAAGCGCUUAUGACCAGACUUGCGCCCGGUGAAUCACCCAGCUCUCGCGGCUGGGGCACUUUGCCGGCUCAGGCCAGCAUCAGCUCGCUGUCGGGGACAAAAGCUUCGGGAACGUAGCUCUCUUCGGGGAGUGUUAUAGCCCGUUGCAUAAUACCCUUCGGCGGGCUGAGGUACGCGCUCCGCAAGGAUGCUG
rnacentral:rRNA from 1 species